rnacentral:rRNA from 1 species
UACGUAGGGUGCAAGCGUUGUCCGGAAUUAUUGGGCGUAAAGAGCUCGUAGGCGGUUUGUCGCGUCUGCUGUGAAAAUCCAAGGCUCAACCUUGGACCUGCAGUGGGUACGGGCAGACUAGAGUGCGGUAGGGGAGAUGGGAAUUCCUGGUGUAGCGGUGGAAUGCGCAGAUAUUAGGAGGAACACCAAUGGCGAAGGCACAUCUCUGGGCCGUAACUGACGCUGAGGAGCGAAAGCGUGGGGAGCGAACAGG